rnacentral:rRNA from 1 species
AUUGAACGCUGGCGGCAUGCCUUACACAUGCAGGUCGAACGGCAGCGGGGGAGAAGCUGCUUUUCCUGCCGGCGAGUGGCGAACGGGUGAGUAAUACAUCGGAACGUGCCCUGUAGUGGGGGAUAACUAGUCGAAAGAUUAGCUAAUACCGCAUACGACCUGAGGGUGAAAGUGGGGGACCGCAAGGCCUCAUGCUAUAGGAGCGGCCGGUGUCUGAUUAGCUAGUUGGUGGGGUAAAGGCCUACCAAGGCGACGAUCAGUAGCUGGUCUGAGAGGACGAUCAGCCACACUGGGACUGAGACACGGCCCAGACUCCUACGGGAGGCAGCAGUGGGGAAUUUUGGACAAUGGGCGAAAGCCUGAUCCAGCAAUGCCGCGUGUGUGAAGAAGGCCUUCGGGUUGUAAAGCACUUUUGUCCGGAAAGAAAUGGCUCUGGUUAAUACCUGGGGUCGAUGACGGUACCGGAAGAAUAAGGACCGGCUAACUACGUGCCAGCCGCCGCAGUAA